GUAGAUGUGUCCGAGUGGUCUAAGGAGCCAGGUUUAGGCCCUGGUCACGAAAGUGGCGCGAGUUCGAACCUCGUCAUCUACA